CCCAAACUUGAAUGUUUGCUUGUCCUCAAGCAAAAGAAAAACCAUAAAAACAAAGAACAAUAACCAUAGUCAGGCUCAACUCAUCCCACCCAAAGGACCUAUCAUGCAAACAUCAAAUCUUCAACUUAAUACAUAAACAAUAGCAAAUAAAGGAAAACUAAGCAUACUCACAUUCUCUAGAUCAAAUAUCCAUAUAUAAUUCUAAACUUAAUCAUAUUUAUCAUGCGACCAACACAAUUGAAUCAUGUAACAACUCAACCUGCAAUCACCCCUUCUCACUACUACAAACAAGGUAGCAAACUAGAGAGUUUUUUUUUUACCAAUUAUUCUUUGUCUUUAAGUUGUCACUUGCCUUUUGACGUGAAUACAAGCAUUUGUGAUAGAUGCACCCGAUUACUCAACAAGUCACACACUUAAAGUGCUUUUGCUUACUCAUAUUUCAAGUUGCCGUUUGACGUAAAAGUAAACAUUGGUGAUGAAUACCUCUAGUUACUAAGCAACUCAAAACAUUGGAGUAGAUAGAACUUUGUACACAUUUAUUUAUUCGACUGUCUAAUCAUUA
rnacentral:lncRNA from 1 species